rnacentral:rRNA from 1 species
GACAGAGGGUGCAAACGUUGUUCGGAAUUACUGGGCGUAAAGCGCGUGUAGGCGGCUCUGCAAGUCGGAUGUGAAAUCCCAUGGCUCAACUAUGGAAGUGCAUUCGAAACUGCAGGGCUAGAGUUCUGGAGAGGAAGGUGGAAUGCUUGGUGUAGAGGUGAAAUUCGUAGAUAUCAAGCGGAACACCGGUGGCGAAGGCGGCCUUCUGGACAGUAACUGACGCUGAGACGCGAAAGCGUGGGGAGCAAACGGG